rnacentral:rRNA from 1 species
GUGGGGAAUAUUGGACAAUGGGCGAAAGCCUGAUCCAGCCAUGCCGCGUGUGUGAAGAAGGUCUUCGGAUUGUAAAGCACUUUAAGUUGGGAGGAAGGGCAGUAAGUUAAUACCUUGCUGUUUUGACGUUACCGACAGAAUAAGCACCGGCUAACUUCGUGCCAGCAGCCGCGGUAAUACGAAGGGUGCAAGCGUUAAUCGGAAUUACUGGGCGUAAAGCGCGCGUAGGUGGUUUUGUAAGUUGGAGGUGAAAUCCCCGGGCUCAACCUGGGAACUGCCUCCAAAAAUGCAUGAAUAGAGUACGGUAGAGGGUAGUGGAAUUUCCUGUGUAGCGGUGAAAUGCGUAGAUAUAGGAAGGAACACCAGUGGCGAAGGCGACUACCUGGACUGAUACUGACACUGAGGUGCGAAAGCGUGGGGAGCAAACAGGAUUAGAUACCCCUGUAGUCC